AGUUAAAUACAUGAAUCAAGCCUGGUGUUAUUUCUAUGUGCCAGGGUUACCCUGGGCCGAAGGGCGUUCAAGGCCAAGCAGGAACCUGGGGGAAUAAUGGCGGGUAUGGUCUGGAUGGACGGCCAGGGCCACUGGAAUUCCCAGGCCUUCAGGGUACUAAAGGGGAGCAGGGGGAACUGGGUUCUGUUGGCCUAAUUGUGAGUAGGACACUUCCAUCCUCUGGCUCACAAGUGCUGACAAGUGCUGCUGUAUUGACUGUGCUGUUGGCAAUAAAGAUGGUGUGGUUUAUUAAGCUUUUGGAUGAUAACUGUUUUAAUUUCAGGGGCCGGUUGGUAAAAGAGGAACCCAAGGGUUUUCAGUGUCACCUGGGCCCCAGGUAA
rnacentral:lncRNA from 1 species